UUAUUGCUUGCGUAUCUCCAAAUCGAUCCGCCAGUAAAGUGAGUAUCGGCGUUGGUAGUAAAACCGCCUAGAUAACCGAUCCAGUGACCAACGCUGGACCAGGUACGCGACCACGUUGUUGUAGCGAUGGGCGCGAACUGCUUCGGUUACGGCAAACCGGCGAAAAAAAAUUCCCAAUAUCCUCGCACUCGCGGUAACCCAGGACGAGAUGAAGAUGAACGAAACACGAACGAACGUAGCGAAAACUGACGAUCGAUAAAUGCUCUUCCGCGAAAUGCCGAACGAAAACGAAAUUGACGGCCGUGGCCGCGACUUGCGCGCGGAGUAGUUUUUCUGUUCGUUUCUUUCCCUCGUAAAAACGGAGGAGAGAAGAUAUUCCGAGUAUUUUGAUCGCCGGGGCCCAAUUCUCGCAAUGCGAGGUGACGUAGCCGAUUUUUAUUAUUAUUAUUAUUAUUAUACGCGAUACAUUUUAUGAAGCUGUCGAUUAGAUUCGCGUAGGGAUAUACAUAUCGAGAGCCGCGUGUGUUCCGAAUCGAGCGGGGUCGAGAUCUCGGAUGCAUUCCGCGGACCGUGGAGAACUUUACGAUCGAAAUCCUCUCCGGCCAAAUGACCCAUCUCAAAUGCUCGUCUGAUCCCCGCAUUUUUAUUGAUUACGUUGAUUCGCGGCAUAUUUUAAUUGGCUUGAGAAACGGAUCGGCCAUUCGACGCACGAUGCCGCGAUGCAGUUUCUGCGGUCGAGACGCGAGACAAACGAACGAACGGACGAACGGACGAACAAACGCAUAAGUAAUUCCGAACAUCUGGAGUGUUUAAUUACCAGGAUAUCUUGCCUCUCUUCUUUCUCUGUUCUAAUUAAAACGACUGUACGCCGUGCGACUGGAGUAGACUGUGCGGAGGAACAGAGGCGUGUGCGCUCCUGCGGAGACCGGUGCAAGGCAGUCGUCGAAUCAUCACCCGGAAUUUCAACAUUCUUCUAAAGAACCGAGCACAAUUUGGAAGAAACAACCAACUUCGAUCGUACGGUCGUGACAAGUGCCUUGGAAAAAAAGAGAGUCGGUUGGGAGGGGGAUGGGAACGGAGGAGAAGAAAAGGAUCGAAUGGCUGCCUUGAUUGCGGAUCACCCGACGACGUAACUCAGCCAAAGUACGGCUACGUGUUUUCCGGACGUACGGAUUCCGAGAAGCAAUCGCAUCGUAACGAUCGUUCGGUCGGACUCGACGGGCUCCAAAAAUCGGCCCCCCAGCCUUCCGAUGCCGAAAAUUGAACACUCGCUUCAAUCCUUCUUCCGACCGAUCGAUCGCCUUCGGCGGAAAUGAUUUCUCAGAGGAGUCAGGAUUCAGCCCGGAGCACACGAGGCUCCAGAUAUUGUCCACUUGAUAAUACGACGCCCAACGAAUAAUAAAGAUACA